rnacentral:sRNA from 1 species
GCCAGGCACGGUGGUGCAUGCCUGUAAGCCCAGCAGCUUGGGAGGUUGAGGCAGGAGCAUCACGAGUUCAAAGCCAGCCUAAGCAAGGGCGAGGUGCUGAGCAACUCAGUGAGACCCUGUCUCUA